rnacentral:rRNA from 1 species
AGUGAACGCUGGCGGCGUGCUUAACACAUGCAAGUCGAACGAGAACGGUCCUUCGGGACGUCAGCUAAGUGGCGCACGGGUGAGUAAAGUAUAGUUAAUCUGCCCCCCAGAGAGGGAUAACAACUAGAAAUGGUUGCUAAUACCUCAUACUCCUUUAUUAUUAAUUAGUAAAGGGAAACGAAUUUCGCUGGGGGAUGGGACUAUAUCCUAUCAGCUUGUUGGUGAGGUAAUGGCUCACCAAGGCUAUGACGGGUAGCUGGUCUUAGAGGAUGAUCAGCCACACUGGUACUGAGACACGGACCAGACUCCUACGGGAGGCAGCAGUGGGGAAUAUUGGGCAAUGGACGAAAGUCUGACCCAGCAACGCCGCGUGGAGGAUGAAGCAUUUCGGUGUGUAAACUCCUUUUAACUAAGAAGAUAAUGACGGUAUUAGUUGAAUAAGCACCGGCUAACUCCGUGCCAGCCGCCGCCGUAA